ACGUAGGUGGCGAGCGUUGUCCGGAAUUAUUGGGCGUAAAGGGCGCGUAGGUGGCUAUACAAGUCUGAUUUAAAAGAGCUGGGCUCAACUCGGUGAUGGGUUAGAAACUGUAUGACUUGAGUGCAGGAGAGGUAGGCGGAAUUCCUAGUGUAGCGGUGAAAUGCGUAGAUAUUAGGAGGAACACCAGUGGCGAAGGCGGCUUUCUGGACUGCAACUGGCACUGAGGCGCGAAAGCCAGGGGAGCAAACGG
rnacentral:rRNA from 1 species